ensembl:snRNA U6 U6 spliceosomal RNA
GUGUUACUCUGGUAGCACAUAUACUAAAAUUGGAACGUUACAGAGAAGAUUAGCAUGAACUCUGCGCAAGGAUGACACGCAAAUUCGUGAAGCAUUCCUCAUUUUC